rnacentral:lncRNA from 1 species
GGGGAGCAACGAAAAUAGAUGCUAAAUUUUAUUAUUAUUAUUUUUUUUAAUGGUGAACAUACAUCCCUUUUAAUAGCAAAUAUAUGUUGUAUAGUCAAAUGCUUAUUAGUCACUAGGGAUAACGUUGGAGAAAUGCGAUGCUAUUAAUUUAUUGCCCAUUUCAUGAAUUUUCCAUUCAGUUUCUCGAUCACCAUAUGAAGUAUUCAAUGUACUGGAUGAAAAAAUGAUAUUAAGCUGAUGUUGUAGGUAAAAAAUAUAUAUGGUAGAGCGGAUUAUCUUCUUUUGGUCAUAAUAUCUCUCCUUGAAGCCCAG